rnacentral:rRNA from 1 species
UUAAGUUAAUAAGGGCGCACGGUGGAUGCCUUGGCACUAGAAGCCGAUGAAGGACGUGACUAACGACGAAAUGCUUUGGGGAGCUGUAAGUGAGCAAUGAUCCAGAGAUGUCCGAAUGGGGGAACCCGGCAGGUAAUGCCUGUCACUCAUUACUGUUAAGGUAAUGUAGAGGAAGACGCAGUGAACUGAAACAUCUAAGUAGCUGUAGGAAGAGAAAGCAAAAGCGAUUGCCUUAGUAGCGGCGAGCGAAACGGCAAGAGGGCAAACCGAAGAGUUUACUCUUCGGGGUUGUAGGACUGCAACGUGGACUUAAAGAUUAUAGAAGAACUACCUGGGAAGGUAGGCCAAAGAGAGUAAUAGCCUCGUAUUCGAAAUAGUCUUUAUACCUAGCAGUAUCCUGAGUACGGCGAGACACGAGAAAUCUCGUCGGAAUCUGGGAGGACCAUCUCCCAACCCUAAAUACUCUCUAGUGACCGAUAGUGAACCAGUACCGUGAGGGAAAGGUGAAAAGCACCCCGGGAGGGGAGUGAAAUAGAACCUGAAACCGUGUGCCUACAACAAGUUCGAGCCCGUUAAUGGGUGAGAGCGUGCCUUUUGUAGAAUGAACCGGCGAGUUACGAUAUGAUGCGAGGUUAAGUUGAAGAGACGGAGCCGUAGGGAAACCGAGUCUUAAUAGGGCGCAUUAGUAUCAUGUCGUAGACCCGAAACCAUGUGACCUACCCAUGAGCAGGUUGAAGGUGAGGUAAAACUCACUGGAGGACCGAACCAGGGCACGUUGAAAAGUGCUUGGAUGACUUGUGGGUAGCGGAGAAAUUCCAAACGAACUUGGAGAUAGCUGGUUCUCUCCGAAAUAGCUUUAGGGCUAGCGUCGACAUUGAGAUUCUUGGAGGUAGAGCACUGUUUGGGUGAGGGGUCCAUCCCGGAUUACCAAUCUCAGAUAAACUCCGAAUGCCAAUGAGAUAUAAUCGGCAGUCAGACUGCGAGUGCUAAGAUCCGUAGUCGAAAGGGAAACAGCCCAGACCACCAGCUAAGGUCCCAAAAUAUAUGUUAAGUGGAAAAGGAUGUGGGGUUGCACAGACAACUAGGAUGUUAGCUUAGAAGCAGCUAUUCAUUCAAAGAGUGCGUAAUAGCUCACUAGUCGAGUGACCCUGCGCCGAAAAUGUCCGGGGCUAAAACAUAUUACCGAAGCUGUGGAUACCUUUAUAGGUAUGGUAGGAGAGCGUUCUAUGUGCGAAGAAGGUGUACCGUGAGGAGUGCUGGAGCGCAUAGAAGUGAGAAUGCCGGUAUGAGUAGCGAAAGACAGGUGAGAAUCCUGUCCACCGUAAGACUAAGGUUUCCAGGGGAAGGCUCGUCCGCCCUGGGUUAGUCGGGACCUAAGGAGAGACCGAAAGGUGUAUCCGAUGGACAACAGGUUGAUAUUCCUGUACUAGAGUAUAUAGUGAUGGAGGGACGCAGUAGGCUAACUAAACCAGACGAUUGGAAGUGUCUGGCCAAGCAGUGAGGUGUGAUAUGAGUCAAAUGCUUAUAUCUUUAACAUUGAGCUGUGAUGGGGAGCGAAGUUUAGUAGCGAAGUUAGUGAUGUCACACUGCCGAGAAAAGCUUCUAGCGUUAAUUAUACUCUACCCGUACCGCAAACCGACACAGGUAGUCGAGGCGAGUAGCCUCAGGUGAGCGAGAGAACUCUCGUUAAGGAACUCGGCAAAAUGGCCCCGUAACUUCGGGAGAAGGAGUGCUGACUGAUGGUCAGCCGCAGUGAAUAGGCCCAAGCAACUGUUUAGCAAAAACACAGCUCUCUGCUAAAUCGUAAGAUGAUGUAUAGGGGGUGACGCCUGCCCGGUGCUGGAAGGUUAAGAGGAGUGCUUAGCGUAAGCGAAGGCAUGAAUUGAAGCCCCAGUAAACGGCGGCCGUAACUAUAACGGUCCUAAGGUAGCGAAAUUCCUUGUCGGGUAAGUUCCGACCCGCACGAAAGGCGUAAUGAUUUGGGCACUGUCUCAACGAGACACUCGGUGAAAUUUUAGUACCUGUGAAGAUGCAGGUUACCCGCGACAGGACGGAAAGACCCCAUGGAGCUUUACUGCAGUUUGAUAUUGAGUAUCUGUACCACAUGUACAGGAUAGGUAGGAGCCUAUGACCUCGGGACGCCAGUUUCGAGUGAGGCGUUGUUGGGAUACCACCCUUGUGUUAUGGCCACUCUAACCCGGUAGGUUAAUCAUCUACGGAGACAAUGUCUGACGGGGAGUUUGACUGGGGCGGUCGCCUCCUAAAAGGUAACGGAGGCGCCCAAAGGUUCCCUCAGAAUGGUUGGAAAUCAUUCGCAGAGUGUAAAGGUAUAAGGGAGCUUGACUGCGAGAGCUACAACUCGAGCAGGGACGAAAGUCGGGCUUAGUGAUCCGGUGGUUCCGUAUGGAAGGGCCAUCGCUCAACGGAUAAAAGCUACCCUGGGGAUA